AUGUCCUAAGUCAGUGAAAAAAAAAAGUGGAUCGACUCUCUGUCAGCUUCCUCUUUCUUCUUCCUUGGAUGAAUUCUUGUAGCAAAGUCGUGGCUGGUUGGGGUAGGCGGAAUAAGGUAGGCCAGCGUGUUCCUCAAAUUUGGGCCGCUCCCUGUUGGAUUCGGCGGCGCGUGAGCCGGCGGAGAUGAAUCGAAGAAGCAGCCGGCUUUGGUGGAAGAAGGUAGGCCAGCGUGGUCUUCAAAUUCGGGCCGCUUCCUGUUGGAUUCGGCGCCGCGUGAGCCGGCGGAGAUGAAUCGGAGAAGCAGCCGGCUGUAAUCUUUGUGUCGCCUGUCUUGGGAGUUGAUGCAGCGGAGUAGAGAGGGCGAAUGGAGAAAGGGCAAGAUGGUUCUUUUUUCUUCAGAAUAUGCCUAAGCGUAAAGGCCAGUGUGGAGUCGCCUGCAUGAAGCGUUCGUGCAUCUUUGCCGCUGUUCUUAGCUGAAGGGUCAAUGGCUCGGUGACAAUAACUGAAUGGAUAGAAUAAGUGUUCAUGUGGGCAUUGACAGAGUAAUAAGUUGAAAAGUAAAAACGUCAAAGGGAAGUGCUGAGGAGACCAGAUGAGGUACAAAAAGGAAGUAGAAAAAGAACAUAACGAAUGCUGGUGUGAAGAAAGUACCAAAUGAUCAACGAACAUGUAACCAAUUUUAUAGAGGUGCUGAUCUCUGUUCCGAUUCUCCCAUGACCGUGCGAUGCGUACAACGGCACGCCUCGGAAGUCCUCGAGAGGCAGGGAAAACUGAAGGCAUGAGAAAAGAAAAACAGGAAGUUACCGGCGACAAUGGCGGCAGGAGCCUCUUCAAGAGGACGCUUGCCUAGACGUAUCUCCCGCCUGCGAGAUUGUACGUCAGACAUUAAGUGAGAGGCAAAAGGCUGCCCUGUAGAAACAUCCCUGGAAGAAACGACCCGCUGCGAAGCCAUAGGAACAACAGGCUGAUCGACGGCAGAUCCACCACUGCCAACAACACGGACGGAAGAAUCGGCAGUAGAAACAGGCACAACAGAAGGGGGAUGUAGAACAACAGGAGGCAACACACGAACAGCAGGGGCACCAGAUAGCAGAGGAGCACGUACAGGCGGAAGAAAAGAGGCAGGGCCAACAGCAGGAGCAGAAGCAGGAGCACUAUCUUGCAAAAGACGACGGCGGCGUAGAGGUGGAGAAGUAGAGGAGGAAGACGACCGCGGACGCCGACGGCUUGAUCGCUGGGCUACACCACCAAGAGGGUCUACAGCAGGCAAGGAACCUCCGAGAGGAUGUACAACAGGCAAGGAACCAGCCUGAGGCAAAGUGGGAGUUCCAGAAGGCGAUUGAUCAAACCCAACAAAAGCAGCAGGACCAGCUGAAGCAACAGGCGGCGAGGCAACUGCGGCAACAGCAGGAGAGAAGGCCGGGCCGCGGCAGGCAGAACGGGAUCGGCCACGGCGUCCAGAACUCCGGCCUACCGGCCGACAGGACAGCUCAUCCAAUCCACGCCGGCGACGCGGCCGCGAAGACAAAGGAAAAGGAAGUUGCGGUAAAGCCGGCGAUGCGAACGGCAAGGACACCGGGAAAGAUGGCCGGAGAGCACGAAGAGAAGGUAAGCCGCGCUGAUCAUGGAGGCGCGGCAAUAACGGACGCAAAGGAGACGGCGGAGGAACCGACCUUCCUCGCCCACGGCGAGCAGCGCCAUCCAUGCUGAAAUCAGAACCUGCAAGCAGCGGCCUGGCCAAUAUGCCGAUCUCUCCGAUGCGGAGACGUGAGCGGAGGAACCCAGAAGAGGCCUAGCAUGUACAAAACCGAAUAACAAAUUAGGCCCAGAAAGCAGUAGAGGGAAGAAACAGACACGCAGAGAGGAUACGUGGCAAAUAAUGGCAACGGAAGUUGCCGUAAAACAUGCACAUCCGGUAGAAUUGGAUGAAACCGGAGAUCAAAGGUAGAAAAUAAGUUGUAAUCGUGGAGCAGCCGGUCCGUAUCUGGAGGUUUGACCGCUGCCUGCCGGUAAUCGUGUAAUUUAGGAAGGAAAAAAAAGAAAAGGAAAGGAAAGGAAAGGAAUUCCGGCUGGGGCAGAAACGAUCGCCCGUGAACAGUGGAAAAUUCUAUCGUGUCUAACCGUGAUUGGUGCAAACUGGGAGGGCAACAGUACCCAAAUAAAUCUCCUUGCGGCAGAUCGGGUUAACUUUUAUAUAGUGAAUA